GCAUUGAUGGUGUAGCGGUAACAUUAAAGCUUCCCACUUGGUCUUCAUGAUCUUGCUUUAGCUCCGGGUUCGACUCCCGGUCAAUGCA